rnacentral:rRNA from 1 species
AUACGGAGGGUGCAAGCGUUGUUCGGAAUUACUGGGCGUAAAGCGCGUGCAGGUGGUUCGGCAAGUCGGGUGUGAAAUCCCCGGGCUCAACCCGGGAACUGCAUCCGAAACUUCCGAGCUAGAGUCCCGGAGAGGAAGGCAGAAUUCCCAAUGUAGGGGUGAAAUCCGUAGAUAUUGGGAGGAAUACCAGUUGCGAAGGCGGCCUUCUGGACGGUGACUGACACUCAGACGCGAAAGCGUGGGGAGCAAACAGGAUUAGAAACCCCAGUAGUCC